GGUAGACAGAAAUAUGCUGUGGCAGAACACUGAUCCCAGGGAAUGAAGCACACACCAGUGGAAUGGAAGUAAGGGUACACAAAGCUCCAACUAUGUCACAGCUGCCAGAUACGUUUCUACAGCAACUGUCAGCAGUUACAGAGCUCCAGGCAGGAGCCGGAGGAACAAUUCAACAUCCCAUUCCAAAUACUGAGCAGUUUCUUAAAUGCUUGCUCAAGGCAAAGAAUAUAAUUACACUUCCCUUAAAAGGACCAGAAGCACAAAUCUCUCCAGCGAAGAACAGCUAUUCAAGGGAACAAACUCAGAGAUGCACCGCCGCUCACACAGAGAACAUCCUACACCCUGCUCUGGGGCACUUCCGGGAGACGCUGAGGGACAGGCCUAGACCUCGAAGCAUUAAAGUUCCUGGGGAGGAUCUGGUAGAAUCUUAGGCACAUUUCCAGUUCUCUUCAGGCAUGUUGCUAUGCUGGGAGAGGAAGGUUUUUGAUGUAGCCAAAAAAUAAAAAUAAAAAAUAAAACAACCCCAAACC
rnacentral:lncRNA from 1 species